CUCAUAGGUAUUAAAAGGAGCUCUGGAGGAUUGUGGAAGUCUGCGGCGCCUUGGACAAUGGAUCGAUUAAUGUGUUCGUUUGUUAUUAUCCCCCUGUUGCAGGGUGGCGCCUUUGGUUACCAGUGCAAUGUCACACAUCUGGGAACGGAAACGACCUACAACAUCUUAAACCCAACCAGCAAUGCAAAGUGUGAAUACAGCUGGAGUAAUCAGGCUACACUGUGUAGGGCUGCUAUGAGGUCACGAUGCUUACGUAGCUGCCGCGGCUAUCGCCGUACAGCUUAAACUCCGCCCUACCACAACGGUACUGUCGGCGGUGGAAACGCGAGCCGUAACUGAGCUUGGCCAAACAGCACCUUCACUCCUGGGCCAAGGCGUGCUGGGACUAAGCCCGACCGCCAGUGGAAACGCGCCAUAUUAGAUAAUUUGGCAAAAGACCACGAAAUACUUCAGAGAAAAAAUAAGAUGUUUUUGUAAUAUUUUGAUGUGUAUUGUUAAUCUUUUAGGUAAAUUAAGGUGUAUAGUAUUCCUGUAACUAAUCCUCUUAAUCCACAACAUUUUGAAGACAAUGUAA
ensembl:lncRNA